CGGCGGGCGGUGCGGUGCCGCCGGCCAGGCCCCUUGGGGGGUCAGGGGGAGGGCUCCGAUGUGUCUCAGGUCGGGUUCCUGCGGAGGCUGCGCUGUCCUGCCCGAGCCAGGAGGGCCCGCUACCUGCAAACUCAAGAAAAGAAGAGAUCUGUAAUUCUCCAUCACUGGCUUUAUUGGAGAUCAGAAGAGAGCAGAACAACAAUGACACCAUUAGAAUCAUCUGGAGGAAAGCAUGAGUAAAGAGAAGGAAAGACCAAAGGAUUUUCUGAGGUUCCACGGUCUUCUCUAUUGCUAGCAUAUUCUGCUGUAGCAUUUACAUCUAGAGCAUUUUCCAGACCAUCUGGAGCAAAGCUGUGUGCAAAGGAAUAAAUCGACACAGACGCUGUGCUCUUCAUGUAAAUCUGUUUCCUGAGCCUCUCUAUCAGUCAGGCAGGUUUAGAAGCUCUGGAACCAGCUCUGUACUCUGCCCCACAUGACUUCCCACAAAAUGCUGUUGUCUUCACUGGGAUCCUGUCCUGGGUUUCCUUCGGUGUUGGAUUUGCAGUAGUGAAGGACAGGGACUGGCUCAUGCCUCCACACACCUUUGCUGAGGAAUGCUGUGUGGUUUCAGAUGCAAGGAACUGCUACUACAGGGUCCUUGACUUCAGUACUAACAAGAUGAGAUGUGCCCUUUGCUGGCAGGGUAGGUUAGUUCAGCCACUGAGCACUUUGGAGAUGAGGGCAUUGCCUCCUGUGCUCCUGCUCACCUUCCUCUGGGGUAGCUGGUGGCAGGGGAGAAGCUACUGUUGAGAGAG